UACGUAGGGGGCAAGCGUUGUCCGGAAUCAUUGGGCGUAAAGAGCGUGUAGGCGGUUCGGUAAGUCGGCUGUGAAAGUCCAAGGCUCAACCCUGGGAUGCCGGUCGAUACUGCCGGACUAGAGUUCGGAAGAGGCGAGUGGAAUUCCCGGUGUAGCGGUGAAAUGCGCAGAUAUCGGGAGGAACACCUAUGGCGAAGGCAGCUCGCUGGGACGUUACUGACGCUGAGACGCGAAAGCGUGGGGAGCAAACAGG
rnacentral:rRNA from 1 species